GAGAAUAGCUUGAACUCGGGAGGCAGGGGUUGCGGUGAGCCGAGACUGCGCCACUGCACUCCAGCCUGGGGGACAGAGCAAGAUUCCAUCUUAAAGAAAAAGAGUGUUAAUAACAGUUAACUUUUGUUCAAUACUUGUUAAGAGCCCAAAAAGUGAGAAAACUAAAGCAUACUGAUUAUAUUAAUUUCCAGAGUUCAAAUGGCUAGUAAAUGGUAGAACCCAGAUUGGACUAUCAUCAUCAUAAAUAAAACCUAUAUUACAGAUAAGGAAACUGGCAUACAGAGAAGUGGAUAACCUCUCAAUGUCACAGAGCUCAUAAGCAAAGCAGCCAGGACGUCAUAAUAUACUACUAUGCUUUCUCCUCAUUUCAAUCAUAUAGCAAUAAGGCUUAUCUUUUUAAUAUUAUUUACCAAUUACAAAGACAAUUCAAAUCUUGUUUCUAGAAUAAUUCUCUCUCUUUGACUUCUGAAUUAACAUAAUAAAAAGUCCCACCCUAGUUAAUGUGAAUGGAAUCCUAUCUUUUAAUCUUCAAGUUGUCUUCAAAGUAAGUUCAGACUAGUGGCAUAUUCUGUGCCUGAAGAGUAAGUAAGUCAUUAUUUAUUGAUCGAUCCUGAUGUCCUAUUAUCUUCCGCUCUGGAACUAAAAACUGUAAAUUAUAUAGUCAAUAAAUCUCAUAGGGUUCAUUAUAGCUAUGUACUUGGGACAUCAAUUCCUGAUUUUGGUACUUUUGUUGGUUUGCUAUCUAUAUAAGACCAAAAAAAUGAAAACAGCAUUAUCUAUGAAAGGCCCUUCAAUACUGAAAACUGCAGUUCUCUCUGUUAUAUACUAACUCUAUUAAAGUCAUUAAAUGUGGCUUUAGCACUUAGGAUACUUGAAGUAGCUGCUGUUGUUCUGAUAGUAAAACAGUUUAAAGCCUGUCAUAACGUAUAGUAAACACUCAAUAGGUAUCAGUUGAAUUUUUAAAAAAUGAAUACAUAUGAUGCUCAUGCUUUGUACAGAUUAUUAUGCUGAACAAACAUUACACACUUGGCCGGGCACAGUGGCUCAUGCCUGUAAUCCCAGCACUUUGAGAGGCCGAGGCUGGCUGAUCACAAGGUCAGGAGUUCGAGACCAGCCUGGCCAACAUAAUGAAACCCCAUAUCUACUAAAAAUACAAAAAAUUAGUCGGGCCUAGUGACAGGUGCCUGUAAUCCCAGCUACUCGGGAGGCUGAGGCAGGAGAAUCACUUGAACCCAGGAGGCAGAGGUUUCAGUGAGCCAAGAUCGCGCCAUUGCACUCCAACCCCAGACAACAGUGCAAGACUCCAUCUCAAAAAAAAAAAAAAAAAAAGAAAUACACUUUUUACUUUGUAGCUAGAAACUCUUUGUGAAAAACAAGGAAGGUAAGAUUUUAGUUUUGCAUAUCCCAGGUUAGAUGCCUGGAAGCAUUUAAAACAUUGCCUUCUCAAUUUCUCCAUUUUGUGCUUGUCACAUUCCUGGAAAUACAAUAAACAGAAACAUAAGAACCAGAGGCAUAGAAGCAAAACUCUACUCACGGUGUUCCUGUUCACAUUAGAUCAGUAAACCACAAAACCUGAAAGAAUACUCUUAAUCUCAUUUCAACCAUAACCACCAAAUUUGAACACUCUAAGGGGAAAUUUGGCCACCUGUAAACACUUUAACUCAUUUGAGACAUCAGACUUCUCUUUUGACAUCUCCAAUAUGCGUGUGACACAGCAGUGCAUAUUGGAUGCCAAAUCCACAGGUUCAGAAAGAAGAAACUAGGCAACAUUUGAGAAAGAAUAGUUAAACUCGUUUUUCACUAAAUCCAUUUCAUCACGUUUUGACCUCAUUACUUUCCAACUGUUUUGUUGUUGUUGUUGUUGUUUGCUCUGUUUUGGUGUGUUUUUUGUUUUGUUUUGUUUUGUUUAAUGUAAGAACAAAAAGAAACACCAAAAACAGUAGCAAAUCUCUUUGGAUCAUGUUGAGACAACAGAAGCAAGUAACUGAAGUUUGGCAAGUCAGGAGGAAGGGCAUUUCAAGGAAUGAGCAGCAAGCCUAUCACUGAGGGAAUACGAAAGAUUCCAAGUCUCCUAAUACAGCUUGAGGGCUGCUGCUCCUGGACCUGUAAUAGCAGAGGCUAUUAGAUCCUUGAAGUUAGAGGGCAAGCUUGUACACAAGUGGGUUAUACUAUCAUCGAGAUCUGAUGCUAAAGACAGAGAGAUAGCAUGUGCACAUAAACAUGGCUGGGCCACAGCAAAGGCUGUUAGAAAUGAAAUGAUAUGGUAGUCACAUGAAAACACUGACAAAAAAAAAAAAAAAAAGACCUGGCUUCCUUGGCUCUGCAUGUAGAUAAUCUCCCUCAGCUAAUUACAGUAAAUGCCAAAGAUCUAACAUCUUUCCUGCAGACCCACAAGGAAGAUAUAUGAGAAAAUACUGUAGGAUGCUUGCAAGACUGAAUUUCCAAAGCAGCUUUAAAGGGAAUUAUAAGGAAGAUGUUAGAACAUUAGGGGAAAAUCAGUGCUGUAUUGCAAAGGAAAUGUUUAAUUGUAAAGAGAUAACUGUUUUUUUGUACAUGUGUUCCAACAGGAGAUUCAUGAAAACUUAACUGAACUUAACAUGGUUAUAUGAGACAGCAAGUGACAUGAAGGAGCAGACCACCAAGAUUUUGAGCAAUGAAUAAGGAGUUGGAAGAAUGAGAGGCAAAUAAGUGACAGAAGCAGUGAUUUCAAGAAGUCCAUAAUCACGUCAGCACACAUCCUGCCACUUCUAGGCAGGGAGGCAGAAGCGUUGUUGGUGUGAAGUAAGCAAGGAAACAGGAUCAGAAUGAAAUGCUUUAGGAUAUAUCGCUCAAAGUAGGAGUCAUAUGAUGAUUGAAUAUGCAACAUCACACUGCAGACAUACAUGAGAUAUACAUGUGGGAUGUAUAAUGGAAGGGUUCUCAAGAAGAAGGAAGGAGAAAGAAAGGAGAGCCUUGGAGUGGCUAAAUACUUUAUAUACAAAAUUUAUUUAACUCCCACAACAAUCCUAGGUAUUAUCAUGCCCAUUUUACAGAUGGAACUGAACAUCAGAGAGGUUAUGUAACUUUCCCAAGGUCACAAGCUAGUAAGUACUAGCCCUGAUCCCCUGAUUUCCUGCCUGUACUCACUGGCAGUAAGCCUCUUUCAUGCACCCUAGAUAGGAAAUGCCAAAACAUAGGGACUUUUCAAUACAAAGUGUAUGAAAUGGUUUGGCUGAGUCCCCACCGAAAUCUCUUCUUUUAGUUCCCAUUAUCCCCUUGUGUUGUGGGAGGGACGAGGUGGUAGGUAAUUUAAUCAUGGGAACAGUUGCCCUCAUGCUGUUCUCAUGAUAGUGAGUUCUCAUGAGAUCUGAUGGUUUUAUUAGGGGCUUUUCCCUCACUUCACUCAUUCUCUCUCCUGCCGCCUUGUGAAGGACAUGUUUGCUUCCCCUUCUGCCAUGAUUUUAAGUUUUUUGAGGCCUCCCUGGCCCUGUGGAAGGGUGAGUCAAUUAAGCCUCUAUCUAAUUUAUAAGCCUCUAUCUAAUUUAUAAAUUACCCAGUCUCGGGUAUGUCCUUAUAGCAGCAUGAGAACAGACUAAUACAGUAAACUGCUACUGCAGAGAAUGGGGUGCUUAUAUAAGAUACCCAAAAAUGUGGAAACAACUUUGGAACUGGGUAACAGACAGAUGUGGGAAUAGUUUGGAGGGCUCAGAAAAAGACAGGAAAAUGUGGGAAAGGUUGGAACUUCCUAGAGACUUGGAGGGCUUAGAGGACAGCAAGAUAUAAGAAGGUUUGGAACUUCCUAGAGACCUGUUGAACGGCUUUGACCAAAAUGCUGAUAAGGAUAUGGACAAUGAAGUUCAGGCUGAGGUGGUCUCAGAUAGAGAUGAGGAACUUCUUGUGAACUGAGUAAAGGUCACUCUUGCUAUGCAAAGAGACUCUAGGGCAUUUUGCCCCUGCCCUAGAGAUCUGUGGAACUUUGAACUUGAGAGUGAUAAUUUAGGGUAUCUGGCAGAAGAAACUUCUAAGAAGCAACGCGUUCAAGAGGUGACAGAGCAUAAAAGUUUAGAAAAUUUGCAGCUUGACAAUGCAGUAGAAAAGAAGAACCCAUUUUCUGGGGAGAAAUUGGAAAUUGUGUUUUAUUAAUAGACUUCGGAGUAUGUAUGGAAAUGCCUGGAUGUCCAGGGAGAAGUCUGCUGCAGGAGCAGACCUCUCAUGGAGAGCCUCUGCUAGGGCAGUAUGGAAAGGAAAUGCGGGAUUGGAACCCCAACACAGAGUCCCCACUGGGGCACUGCCUAGUAGAGCUGUGAGAACAGGGCCACCAUUCUCUAGGCCCCAGAAUGGUAGAUCCACCAAUGGCUUGCACCAUGCACCUGGAAAAGCUGCAGGCACUCAACACCAGCCCAUGAAAGCAGCCAGGUUGAGGGCUGUACCCUGCAAAGCCACAGAGGCAGAGUUGCCCAAGGUGUAGGAGCCUACCUCUUGCAUCAACGUGACCUGGAUGUGAGACAUGGAGUCAAACGACAUCAUUUUGGAACUUAAAGGUUUAAUGACUGCCCUAUUGGAUUUCCAAAUUGCAUGGGGCCUGUAGCCCCUUCAUUUUGGCCAAUUUAUCCCAUUUGAAAUGGAUGUGUUUACCCAAUACCUGUACCCCCAUUGUAUCUAGGAAGUAACUAACUUGCUUUUGAUUUUACAGGCUCAUAGGCAGAGGAAAUUGCCUUGUCUCAGAUGAGACUUUGGACUCGGACUUCUGAGUUAAUGCUGGAAUGAGUUAAGACUUUGGGGGAUUGUUGGAAGGGCAUGAUUGUGUUUUGAAAUCUGAGGAUAUGAGAUUUAGGAGGGGCCAGGGGUGAAAUGAUAUGGUUUGGCUGUGUCUCCACCCAAAUCUCAUCUUGAAUUUUAGUUUCCAUAAUCCCCAUGUGUUGUGGGAGGGACCUGGUGGGAGGUAAUGAUAUGGCUUGGCUGUGUCUCCACCCAAAUCUCAUCUUGAAUUUUAGUUUCCAUAAUCCCCAUGUGUUGUGGGAGGGACCUGGUGGGAGGUAAUUUAAUCAUGGGGGCAGCUGCUCUUGUGAUAGUGAGUGAGUUCUCAUGAGAUCUGAUGGUUUUAUAAGGGUAUUUUCCCCCACUUCCCUCAUUCUUCUCUCUUCUGCAGCCUUGUGAAGAAGGACAUGUUUUCUUCCCCUUCCACCAUGAUUGGCCUCCCAAGCCCUGUGGAACUGUGAGUCAAUUAAACCUCUUUCCUUUAUAAAUUACCCAGUCUCAGGUUAUUUCCUUAUAACAGCACAAAAAUGGACUAAUACAGUACUGAAGUCAAAUUAAAAAAAUGUAGAGAUGAAUCUGUAUAUUUCACAUUUUAUUUGGGAUACAAGAAUUGUAAUUCACGGCAUAAACACAGAUUGGCUAGUCUUUGGUAUAUCCACAAAACAAAGAGUAGUUUGAUGAUUUUAUAAAAAGGAGAAAUGUUAUGUGUUGUGUUUCCAGAAAGUUAAUUGGCACUAGCAAAUUUGGGGGGAGCUUGCAAGUUCUGAUUGCUGAGUGACAGGAGUGGGUAAAACUAGUUUAAGAGUUGUAGUAAGUUAUUUCA
rnacentral:lncRNA from 10 species